GGAAACUGGAUGUUCUCCUAAAACAGACCUUGGGAGAAAGCGCUUUCACCUCCUCACCACAGACACUCUCGACUGUGGACUCAGGACACUAAGCCAGAAAGGUGACGAUUUCCUUCUUGAACCCGGCCUGCAUCAGCAGCUCAGACCCAGGGCUCCGGGUCCUUUGCUCUAUGUCCAGUGCUCUUUUUGCUCCCUCACACACUUAGCGAUGGCAGUGUUCUUAGUAUACUCAAAGAGCUUUGUAAUGAAUUAGAGCAGCCAUUCCCAACCUUCCUAGUGCUGCGGUCCUUUAAUACAGUUUCUUAAGUUGUGGCGAACCAUCCCCCCCACCCCCAACCAUAACAUUAUUCUUGCUGCUGCUGUUAUGAAUCGUAAUGAAACAUUUGAUCUGCAGUACAUCUGAUAUGUGAUUCCCGAGAAAGGGCCAUCAUAUUCCAAGGGAUCGGGACCCACAGCGUGAGAAGCCCUGAACUAGAGAUCCGCCUAAACUGAGAAACAACCUAGCACCUAUCCCAGCCCAUCAAUGUUGUAUAUGGCAACAGAUUCAAAAGCCCAGACUAAAACAUACUCACCAUCCAUGUUACCAGCUCUCACCAUGGGGCAGCAAUGUGGAUUUAGUAAGCAUAGCCCACGGGCACUCAUUUUGAAGACACUAGGAGAACUUCAAAGCCAGGUUUGUUCUUCUGCCUCUGGUGACAUUUUUAAAAUUUCAGCACUGUUUUUUUUUUUAAUUGAUUCGUCGGUCCUUAUAUUUGCUUUAGGAACCUGACAAGACUGACUAGCCAUCUCUAGCAUUCAGAUAUGUGAGCGAGCAGUCUCCUUCCUGCUGCUGCAGCUGCAAGCUGCUCCUGCCGCCCAUGCCGAGAAGGCAGCAGCUGGCAUCAAUGGUGUGGUGAGGAGAGAAUCAAGUUUCCUUCUCCAGUUCAAACAGACGAAAGUGAAGCGACAUAGGCUCAAGGACAGGGUCACUGGGCUAGCGCCACACCAUGGAGCCAAACCCCGAGCCUUCUAAAUUGUGAGCUGGGCAUGGUGGUUCACCCCAGGAAUCGCAGCACUGAGGGAUGAAGGCGAGAGAGUCACUGUGGGUGUGACAUCAGUCUGGCCUGAAGUCUGAGACUGUUUUUUUAAAAAGAAAACAUUUUUUUAUGUCAUAUAUUUAAUUAUAUAAAGAUUCUGUUGUUUUGUUGUUGUUGUUGUUAAAAUUCAGCCAGGAAAUUUCCAUCUGUCUGGUGUUAAUUGGUUGUUUUUCAGCACUAAUUGGGAAAUGAUAUAUUUUUAUUGUUUUAUAAAUAGAGUAAAACCCCUCAGAAACUGCUGGGGAAAUUUAAACAAGGAAAGCAAUUCUAUGUCCUUGCUUGACACCAGUUUGUCCCAGAGGUGACACAACUGUGUAGUUUUUGAAAACACUGGGCA
rnacentral:lncRNA from 1 species